UCGAGAAUCUUGGGCAAUGCGCGAAAGCGUGACCCAGCAAUGCCGCGUGUGUGAUGAAGGCCUUCGGGUUGUAAAACACUGUCACCCGGGACGAUCAAUGACGGUACCGGGGGAGGAAGCCACGGCUAACUACGUGCCAGCAGCCGCGGUAAUACGUAGGUGGCGAGCGUUGUUCGGAAUUAUUGGGCGUAAAGGGUCCGCAGGAGGUUCAUUAAAUUCGAGGUGAAAUGCCGAAGCUCAACUUCGGAACUGCCUUGGAGACUGAUGGACUAGAGUAUUGGAGAGGUAAGCGGAAUUCCAGGUGUAGCGGUGGAAUGCGUAGAUAUCUGGAAGAACACCGAUGGCGAAGGCAGCUUACUGGACAAUAACUGACUCUCAUGGACGAAAGCGUGGGGAGCAAACA
rnacentral:rRNA from 1 species